rnacentral:rRNA from 1 species
GCUGGCGGCAGGCUUAACACAUGCAAGUCGAACGCAUCCUUCGGGGUGAGUGGCAGACGGGUGAGUAACGCGUGGGAACGUGCCCUUCAGUUCGGAAUAACCCAGGGAAACUUGGGCUAAUACCGGAUACGUGCGAGAGCAGAAAGAUUUAUCGCUGAAGGAUCGGCCCGCGUCUGAUUAGCUAGUUGGUGAGGUAAUGGCUCACCAAGGCGACGAUCAGUAGCUGGUCUGAGAGGAUGAUCAGCCACAUUGGGACUGAGACACGGCCCAAACUCCUACGGGAGGCAGCAGUGGGGAAUAUUGGACAAUGGGCGCAAGCCUGAUCCAGCCAUGCCGCGUGAGUGAUGAAGGCCUUAGGGUUGUAAAGCUCUUUCGUCCGGGACGAUAAUGACGGUACCGGAAGAAGAAGCCCCGGCUAACUUCGUGC